rnacentral:rRNA from 1 species
AUUGAACGCUGGCGGCAUGCUUUACACAUGCAAGUCGAACGGUAACAGGGAGCUUGCUCCGCUGACGAGUGGCGAACGGGUGAGUAAUGCGUCGGAACGUGCCGAGUAGUGGGGGAUAACGCAUCGAAAGGUGUGCUAAUACCGCAUACGAACUGAGGUUGAAAGUGGGGGACCUUCGGGCCUCACGCUAUUCGAGCGGCCGACGUCUGAUUAGCUAGUUGGUGAGGUAAAGGCUCACCAAGGCGACGAUCCGUAGCUGGUCUGAGAGGAUGACCAGCCACACUGGGACUGAGACACGGCCCAGACUCCUACGGGAGGCAGCAGUGGGGAAUAUUGGACAAUGGGGGCAACCCUGAUCCAGCAAUGCCGCGUGAGUGAAGAAGGCCUUAGGGUUGUAAAGCUCUUUUGUGGGGGAGGAAGGUCACUUGUUUAAUAAACGAGUGAAUUGACGUUACCCCAAGAAUAAGCACCGGCUAACUCUGUGCCAGCCGCCGCCGUAAUAC